UUUUUUUUGUUGAGACACAUUAGGAAUGGGUUUUGUAAGAGAGAAGAAAAAGGUAGUCGAGUUUUUUAAAAAAUUAUUUAAUUUUUUUUUCGACUAAACAUUUCAUUGUGUCUGCAGGUUUCCAUUCCUGUAACUAGAACCUGUGCUGAAUCAACUGUUUCCUCUCCAUAGCCACUUGAAAGGAGAGGGAAGAAGACAACAGGAGUUAAUUGCAAGUUAAAGGUGUUUCAUAUAGAAACUUUUCAAAAGUGCAUUUGUUGCCAGUGAAAGAUGUUGCUGUUCUGCCAAAAGCUUAUCUCUUUCAGUGUUUCCCCGAUGCCUCAUACUUGCCUCCUGCUGGAGAUGUCAGUCAGUGGCUGAAUGUGGGUGUUGGGAGUGUUGCUUGCUUCUAGAAAGGGUUAUUAUAUGAAACUCCAUAACUGAAGGGGAAAUGGACAGCAAUCUGCUAUACCUCUUAGGCCCACACAAAUCUAAUGGGUCUAAUUUUAGAUUGAUUGUUAAACCAUUACGAUUGUAGCACCUCUUCAUCUCUCUUCUUCCUUCCAACCAGCUCGUUCUUCCAAUAUGCUCAGUAUUCACAGUCUAUCAUAUUUAAAUUUUGUGUUGAAAGUUAUUGUAUAUGUGGGGCAGUUCUGAGGAGAAAGAAGGCCACUGUUGGCAAGGAGUGUAGAAUGGAAGCAGACUCAUGGAAUGGUAUCAGCAUGGUCAUAAUAUGUAUGAGUGUAUCUUGAUCUGACUUUGCCCCUACUUUUGUGUAGCUCAGGUGUUUAGAUUUCCCCUGAGAGUUAUGUUUGAAGAGAUAUGAAAGACGUAGAGAUCUCAAAAGGUAUGGAAGCAUCAGAAAGAUCAAAUGUUUAUACGUAUUCCUGGUCAUGCCAAAUUCGAUCUUUUCUUGUGGCCCUGAUCACUUUAUUUCACAGAGGAGGUGCCUUAGAGGCAUCAAAGUGAAUCUAAGGCCCAGUUUUUAACUAUUUUUAGUCUAAAGUUGAGCACUGUGUUGUACAGGUGCGUCAGGGUACAAUACAAAUACUUGAGUCCAGGGUAUAGUAAGCUGAAUUUUGUCCACGUUAGUGCAAAAAAAGGAUUUUCCAUCCUAUGUGAAACAAGAUAAGAAUACUGCCUUUAUACAGUGUUGCAACCCUUGCUGGCAGCUCAAGUACUACUUCUGAAGUACAGGCAAUCCUCAUUCAGUGCAUCACUUGUUUGUUUGUUUUUAAAACAACCAUGUUGUCAUUGGAAACAGAUGUGGGAUUCCAGGCAAUAAUGCAGAUGGCUCUGAGGUAAAGGGGUAGGUAUUACAAGGGCAUUUAUUUCAGAUCUGUAGUUCUUGUACUACGUUAACUGAAAGUGGUAGUUCUAAGUGGACUAGGCACCCAGAGAGUGCAGCUGUAUGUGUUUAGAAAGGUGUGUCAUAUGCAGACAGUAUCUGUCUAGAGGAAGCUAUCAUGGGAACCUAGAAGGCAGUCAACCUCACUUGUGCCCCCACAGUGUGGGCAUAAGAGAAGGAAGGAAUUUGGACUCAGUAGCAGUGAUAGGCUUUCUUGGAGAGCUGAAAGGUAUCCAUUACUGAAAACAUCAGUUUCUGAGUCUAUUCCACUGAAUUUUGCAAUGGUACUAGUUAAUAAACUUGGCUUUGAGGAGGACAA